GACAGAGGUUGCAAACGUUGUUCGGAAUUACUGGGCAUAAAGCGCACGUAGGCGGUUCGUUAAGUCAUGUGUGAAAUCCCUCGGCUCAACCGAGGAAUUGCGCCUGAUACUGGCGGGCUAGAGAUCGAUAGGGGUGAGUGGAACUCCAGGUGGAGCGGUGAAAUGCGUAGAUAUCUGGAGGAACACCGGUGGUGAAAGCGGCUCACUGGAUCGAUACUGACGCUGAGGUGCGAAAGCUAGGGUAGCAAACGGG
rnacentral:rRNA from 1 species